ensembl:lncRNA
GCAGCCCAACCAGCAGAAGGUGAAAAUGCCAAGAUGUGUCAAUUCUCUCAAGAACCAGCRAGCGGCUGCUAAAGCUUAUCAGGAAAAAUGGAAUGAACAAAACUAGCAGGAAGUUCUGAGGGGUUCAGCAGUAACUGUGCAAAAGGUGACUUUUCUGCAGAAACGUGAACAAAAUCCUGACACAACUAUCCUAUUCGCCAGCUCUGAGGAUGGCUGCAUUUAUGCUUCAUCAGUAGGCUGGGAGGUAACGAAGAAGACCUUUUUGUCUGGAUUUUAUUCUGAUGAAUGAAUGAAUAAAACUGCGGAGAAAAGGAAUAUUUCUGAAAUCUCAGGAUAAAACAGGGGAUGAGUUACUUGCAUAGCUCUUGCCAUUGUGAAUGGAAAAGGUUAUUAAGACUGAAGAUGCUAAAAGUUCUAGGCUUUGUCCUGUGUGGUCUGCUGAUGUCAUUGCAAAGUUCAAAUGCAGAAAGCACCAUCAUCUCUCAAGAAGCAUAUGAGAAGGCUUGUCAAGAUUCAACGAGUAGCCUUUUUGAGUCUGAAAUGAGCAAAUUCACGUUCCCAGAAUUAAAAGUGGAUUCAAUAGCUAUCAAAGGGUUGUACAUCAUGAAUGUUACGAUUCUUCCAAUAAAGGCCAAGUGCAUCCCUGGAGUUGGGGUCAAGGUGUAUUUUUCUGCUCUUCUGAGUAUCUUUGGUACUUGUGCAAAUGCCCUUGUGCCUGGCGUGGUCACUGUCACUGUGAGGUUAAACUGCAGCGCCCUGGUUCUGCUGGAAGACUACUUACCGGACAACAGCUCUGUCGGUGUCAGGGACUACACAUGUGAUGCAAGUCUGAUAGAUGUCAAAAUAAGCUUGAGCAAUAUUGGUGUAAGCGUGGAAGCCACAUUAAGAAACAACAUCCUGUUUGAGUUAAAAAACAAGGCACCUAAAAUACUUUCAAGUUGCUUCUCCAUUGGGCACAGGAAGUUGCUGCAUCGUAUAAAUUCUGUAAUUGCAUUUGAGACAGGGAAAAUCAUAUAUGUGCCCAAGGCCCCCAAAGUACAUAACUACUCCAUUGAAAUACCUCUGCAGACUCAAUACGAGACCAGUGAUGGGAAGAGAAUUCCCAUUCCAUCUCUGCCAGCCAGCCCAGAGGUGAUGCUGGCAGCAAAUGGCACAACUGAAACCAUUGGGGAGAAUACCUUUACCAUUAUCCUCUCCCGGAUUGUCUUUGAGAAACCCAAGACCAUCCCUUGCACCCCUGAAACAUUCCCAGAGACUCGUGCUCUUGAGGUGGCCCUCAACAAUACAAUUGUGUCUAAGUGCCCAGCGUGCUCAUCAUCCCCUUUCUCACUUGUCAUCAUUGUCGAAGUGGUCACGCCUUUGAAGGUCCAUCUGGAUGUGAACUUGUGCACCAUGAAUAUUUCUCUUAACCUGGAGAUAAUGAGUAAAAAAGGAAAUGAGAGCUUGUUGGUUCUUGCUGUCCUGGAGGCUAAACUUGGUUUGGCAGCCACUCUUCACCUURCCGAAGGGGAAGUGCAGUUCAGCGUGGCCCUUGACAGCCUGACUCUCUCGCUGGUUUCCUCAGUCAACGGCACCACUGAUAUUAAACUUCUUCAGGAACCCUUGAGAGCUUUUGUUCGAGAAGUUAUAAUAAAUGAAAUCAAUUCAUAUCUCAAAAUUGGAAAAAUCCCAAUACUUAGGAUCCCAGGACUGACGUACACAGCUGUCGACUGCCGCCCUGCACAGCGCUGUAUCGUGUGCCAUAACUACCACAAGAAAAAGAAAAACUGA